UACGUAGGUGGCAAGCGUUGUCCGGAUUUAUUGGGCGUAAAGCGCGCGCAGGCGGUCCUUUAAGUCUGAUGUGAAAGCCCACGGCUCAACCGUGGAGGGUCAUUGGAAACUGGGGGACUUGAGUGCAGAAGAGGAAAGUGGGAAUUCCACGUGUAGCGGUGAAAUGCGUAGAGAUGUGGAGGAACACCAGUGGCGAAGGCGACUUUCUGGUCUGUAACUGACGCUGAGGCGCGAAAGCGUGGGGAGCAAACAGG
rnacentral:rRNA from 1 species